rnacentral:rRNA from 1 species
AUUGAACGCUGGCGGCAGGCUUAACACAUCCAAGUCGAGCGGGGGAAGGUAGCUUGCUACUGGACCUAGCGGCGGACGGGCGAGUAAUGCUUAGGAAUCUGCCUAUUAGUGGGGGACAACAUCUCGAAAGGGAUGCUAAUACCGCAUACGUCCUACGGGAGAAAGCCGGGGAUCUUCGGACCUUGCGCUAGUAGAUGAGCUUAAGUCGGAUUAGCUAGUUGGUGGGGUAAAGGCCUACCAAGGCGACGAUCUGUAGCGGGUCUGAGAGGAUGAUCCGCCACACUGGGACUGAGACACGGCCCAGACUCCUACGGGAGGCAGCAGUGGGGAAUAUUGGACAAUGGGGGGAACCCUGAUCCAGCCAUGCCGCGUGUGUGAAGAAGGCCUUAUGGUUGUAAAGCACUUUAAGCGAGGAGGAGGCUACUCUAGUUAAUACCUAGGGAUAGUGGACGUUACUCGCAGAAUAAGCACCGGCUAACUCUGUGCCAGCCGCCGCGGUAA